UAGGAUGGAAGAGCUAUCAUAAAUAAACGCAGUUCAUUACAUUAGAACCUUUCUCUGGAUGUGUUUUCAUCAUAAAAACAUGUGAAAUAAUAAGAUCUAUGCAUACUGCAUAUAUACUGAAAUUUCAUAGUUAUAUUAUAUAAGUAGAUAUUCUAAAAAUUUAGAGCAUGGUAAUCCUGAGAAGCUUAUGAAGGAGUAAAGGAGGAAUAGAUAUUCUAGCCAAUUUCAUUUGUUUUUAUUUUCUUCCAGACCUUUGCCACUUAGCAGUGGGUCUUCCAGGUUAGGACAAAAUCGCCUUAACACAAUCUCGCAGGGACACGCCACACGCGCCCGUGAACCCAUGCCCCUUCACCUUAUCUCUUACUGCAGCCCACUACCUUCACUUCAUUUCCUCUUCUCCUAGAUCCCCUUUCUCGUCUAGCUCGCUCAGGGCGUCGGUCGCCAUUGCAACACCAGCCGCAGGAAUCGGCGGGAUACGCUAGCCCUCAGUUCGGAUCGACGUCCAUGCCUCCGGCUCUGACAUGCACGCCCGCUGGACGCCGCCGUGAACCACCUUGUUUUCCGCAGCCUCUUGGACCGAGGCCAUCUUCGUCGGUUCCGUCGGCCGCCACUGCGGCGCCGCGGUUAUCCUCCUCACCAAACAACUCCAGGGACCGUGACGGGCUCCGUGUUAUCCGCAUCUCCUCUGGACCAUGGACUCGAAGCCGCGGGUCCCUCCUACUUCUUCCCUGACGUUGACCGUCAUUGUCGCUGUCCGAGCUCGUUGCUCUGCUCCGUCCGACCUUGCCACUAACAACAUGGGUUUCUUGAUCGUUUCAAUAGAGUCCAGUAAUGAGGGGUAUUACGAGUUCGAUCCGUAGCUUCACCAGGACGUUGACCAGGAAGGCAAGCAUCAUGAAUUCCCUAUCUUAUGUUUUACUUAUGUUGAAGGAUUAUACUAUCUUGUUGCCCGUGUUGGUUACCAUGUCGUACCUUUCUUUGUAAUAUCCAUGUUUAGGACAUGGGUAGGAGUUGCUUGAUGUUCAUGAUCAGCGGGUUGUGACAUAUAUUAAUUCCGGCAAUUUGUAGUCAUCUUAAAAUAGUACAAUUAUGAUAGCUUCAGACCCAAAAAUGACAAAUGGAGACCGAGCUCCAUGGACGUCUUUAUUCAAUAACUUCAAAAUUCAAACUUUUCAGUUUCAAAAAAUUCUGAAAAUAAACACACAUAUACCUAGAUACAUAAUGUACAUGUGUGCAAAUUUUCAGGUUGAAACACAUUAAAAUGUGAACUACAAAAAAAGAUAAUUCUGGGGCUUUUUAGUAUAUGUAUUGUUCAUCUUCAAAGUACACAUUAAAAUUUUCACACAUACACUUAACAUCCUUGCAUACAUGUACUCCAUAAAAAAAUCAUGUGCAAGGAUGUUAAGUGUACUAAGCUUGUUAAAAUUUUCACACAUACACUUAACAUCCUUGCAUACAUGUGCAUGUUUUCAGAAUUUUUUGAAACUGAAAUUUAUGAAUUUGAAUUUUUCAAAAUAAAGGGCUCCAUGGAGCUCGGUCUCCAAAAUGCCCUACUCCUUCAGACCUUAUUCAAAAUUCAAACUAAAAGAUAAGCACCUCAACAGCCAUGUUUCAGAAUAGUAGCUCAAGCACAAGCAACAUUGAGAAAGAUCUUGAGGUACUAAACUUGUUAACAACCAUUUUGUUCUUCAGACAAAUGUAAAUAGAUUCAGACCUUCAAGAACAGAAGAUGUCGAUACAUCUCUGGAUCCAAUAAUGCAAAUCAUUGAAGAAGUUAAGACCUUACUGAGUGACUGGUAGUGAAAAUACGAUGCAGCGAAAAAUAGACAUAUAUCAUUCCUAUUCUACAACAGAGAAAAAUAAAACAACCAACUGAAGGGACAUAUAACUCCUUGCGUGUUGGUUGGAGGCUAUACUACUAAUUUCUGAUGAGUGAGAACUCAUGACAAAAUAAAUUUAAUAUUGUUAUUGCUAUAAAUGCAGAUGAAAUGAAGGUCCACAUUCAGUAUGAUUUUCUUAAUUUCUUUUUAGAAAUUUAACAAGGAAAGCCACAGAAAUUGGAAAACACGUCAAACUACUUUUUUUUACCUGUGAGCUUGUCAAUUAAGUUCAUUUGUGGCACCGUCCUUCCAAAUCUCACCUUAGCCACUUGCCUCAUCAGUGACCAAGGAUACCUAUUGAAUGUAAUGAGCAAUCCAUGUUAACAUGUGA